rnacentral:rRNA from 1 species
UACGAAGGGGGCUAGCGUUGCUCGGAAUUACUGGGCGUAAAGGGCGCGUAGGCGGACAGUUUAGUCAGAGGUGAAAGCCCAGGGCUCAACCUUGGAAUUGCCUUUGAUACUGGCUGUCUUGAGUUCGGGAGAGGUGAGUGGAAUGCCGAGUGUAGAGGUGAAAUUCGUAGAUAUCGGGAGGAACACCAGUGGCGAAGGCGACUACCUGGCCUGUUCUUGACGCUGAGGCGCGAAAGCUAGGGGAGCAAACGGG